rnacentral:rRNA from 1 species
AGGGUUCGAUUCUGGCUCAGAUUGAACGCUGGCGGCAUGCCUAAUACAUGCAAGUCGAACGGAAACGAUGGAAGCUUGCUUCCAGGCGUCGAGUGGCGGACGGGUGAGUAAUACUUAGGAAUCUGCCUAUUAGUGGGGGACAACUCGAGGAAACUCGAGCUAAUACCGCAUACGCCCUACGGGGGAAAGCGGGGGAUCUUUCGGGACCUCGCGCUAAUAGAUGAGCCUAAGCCGGAUUAGCUUGUUGGUGGGGUAAUGGCCUACCAAGGCGACGAUCCGUAGCUGGUCUGAGAGGAUGAUCAGCCACACUGGGACUGAGACACGGCCCAGACUCCUACGGGAGGCAGCAGUAGGGAAUAUUGCACAAUGGGCGAAAGCCUGAUGCAGCAAUGCCGCGUGUGUGAAGAAGGCCUGAGGGUUGUAAAGCACUUUCAAUAGUGAAGAAAAGCACAGGGUUAAUAACCUUGUGUGUUGACGUUAACUAUACAAGAAGCACCGGCUAACUCCGUGCCAGCAGCCGCGGUAAUAC